rnacentral:lncRNA from 1 species
CGCGUUUUUAAUCGUAUUAGACACAAGUAUAAUAAGGGAGCUUUACAAGCUAUCUUGUCCCCCAGCAAUUGAUAUUCAUCUGUAUACUACCAGAGGCUAAAGGCAAAUGAAGUAUAAGUCCCCACCAGAAGAAGGAACAAGAAGUAACUGGGAAUCUGAGGAACACUUUGGCCAUUUGGGACAUUAUAACAAAAAUAAAUGAGCUUCACAUCAAUUUCCCUAUAUACAAUUACCAUACCUCUUUAAUAUAGAAUAAUUACCUAGGGUUUUUCGUCUUCUAUAAUAUUUUUCAUGAUUCCAGGCCAGUGGUUUUGCUGGAUAUUCCU